rnacentral:piRNA from 1 species
UGGGUGUUCUAUGGUGCACUU